GCCGGGCGUGGUGUCGGGCACCUGUAGUCCCAGCUACUCAGGAGGCUGAGGCAGAGAAUUGCUUGAACCCAGGAGGCGGAGACUGCAGUGAGCCAAGAGCGUGCCACUGCACUCCAGCCUGGGUGACAGAGCAAGACUCUGCCUCAA
ensembl:misc_RNA Metazoa_SRP Metazoan signal recognition particle RNA